GGAAGUUGUAAAGACUUGCAGUGCAGAGGUUGCUUCUGUUUGCCUUGCUUGAGGGGGGGCAGUGUAAGGAAAAGGAGCUGCUGUAAAUGCUAGUUGUUUUCAUGCCUUUGAAAUCUGCUAAGUCAGCUUUCCUAAGAAGUGGGAGUGUAGUACUAGUGGUGCCAUUUCCUAUGUUUUAAACUAUGCAGCUGUAGAGCCUAGGAUGGGGAAUAUCUAACUCUCAGCUUUCUUCAGCCCAAGGUGGAAAUGUUCUCCCAUUUCCAAGACCAGCAGAGCACCCUGUAUCCUACAUGAGAGCACCCACCUCUUCUUUUCAAGCCAAGCCAUGAAAACAAAGGAGAACCGAGCAGCAGCCAGCAGAGACACCCCAAAGUGAUGCAGCCGUACCAGCAACGGGGAACUCAUCCCUGGUGAUACCAGGAGAAAUCCCAACUCAUCUCCAGGACACUGAAGCAGAGUGUAGGAGCCUGUAGUCCUCCACUGGGGUUGCUUUGGGAGAGGCUGACCCAGCUGGACUGCAGUGGUAGGGACUGCAGCAAAGAGCCUGAGCAACAUUCAAGGAAUGUGCUAUACAUGGACUCCUAAUGGAAUUAGAGUAUCUGCAUCCUGCCCACAUGGACUAAAGCAUUGGAUCGGGGCCUAUCAUUUACAGUGACGAUGCAGUCCUGUGAGGCAGACCACGUGGGACUCCCUGUUAAGACACAGUCAAGAGAUGACAUCAGUCUUUGUAGGAUCAUAGGAAAUAGCAUCACAGGUGAAGGCACAAAGUACUGAAGUUUCAGAAGAAAAAACAACACAGAAUCUUUGUAUCAAUCCAGUAAAAAAAAGCAACCCAAAAAACAACCUCACCACUUUGGGAAGGAUCUCCUCAAAAGGUAAAAAGUCACAUCAGUACUACAGGCCAGCAGCAGUCAGGAUUUAUCAGAAAAUUGGAAGAGAACAUUUCUGACACAGAAGUUGAGAUAACAAGAAAUGUACAGAGAAGGGUCUGCUUUGAUAACUGGAUUCACGGUGGUGCACUUUACCCACCCCACACGUCCCCCUGAGGCAGGCAGGCAGAUGUGCAGGAAAUCUGUGUUACUUAAACAGCCCAUGUGCAGCAAUGAGAAUUCAGUCAGCUGUUUGCUCAGAGGCCCUGAGACCCCAAAGGCUGCUUUUCCCCCUUUGCAGAGGGGGUACCUGUCUGCUCAGCUUCCUGACUGAAAGUUGUGCUGUAGCCGCAGCUAUAGAUAAAGGCUUGAAUAAUUGUAUUUGUCUGCUACACUGACACAAUAUUCCUUCAUCUAUUCUUGGUUGGCUUUGGGGCACCUCUGUAGCAUUUAUUCUCCAAGAAAAAUUAAAAAAAAAUAAUUAAAGACUAGAAAAUCUCAGUGUCCCCAUCAAACAUAAGGGAGAACAUGUACUUGCUACAACUUAAACCUUCGUGGUAAAUUGUGCUCUGAUCCAGUCAUUUCAUGCCCAAAGGGACCAUGCUAAUGCCACCGUCCUAUGCUGAUGGCCAACUCAAGAGCUACUUAACUUUGUUUAGACCUUAACAACCAGACACAAAAAUGGGUGAAGCUCUUCCCUGCAAUGGCUGUGUUUCCCCUCCAUAAAAGCAAGCAGAAGUUGGGCAGGUCUCAGGCUUUUUCUUUUUUCUUCAGUCUGUAGAGUUUUAAUGAAGUCACCAAAUUAUUGCGGGGAUAAAUCUUCCUCACAUACUUUGAAACUGAAAAAUAUUAUACUUCAUGGCAAAGAUUUUUUCUGACAGCUAAGUACUUCAUGAUUCACAUUUUGCUUUCAUCAAUCACAGUAAAAGUCAGGUAAGUCAAGUUAAUGCUGUGCCUGGUAAAUUUUUUCCACAAGGCUGUAAGGCUAACCGUUUCUACUACUGUACCUACAUGACUGCCACGGCCAACUACAAUUGGAUGGUCUAUACUAAGAAAAGUCAUAUUAAUUUUGCAUAUCCAUCCUGUUGUGCACUGGGGUGCGAUUCAAGCUGGCAUGGUUAUGAAGGCAGUAGGCACAAGACCCCUGCUGUUCAAAAGUCUGCAGAACAGUUCUGGCCCAGGACCCAGCUGUGCACUGUGUCACAACACCAGUAAUGUUCACCUUGGGGUAAGGCUUAGUGGAACUCAUUGGUUUUAAUUUGCAGCUCUGAGAAGUGUAGCCAUCUAUGUUUUAUAGAUUUUUCUUUUCCUAUGAGGGAUCUCAUCAACUUUGAUGUCUGUAACUAUUGAUUCUCUUUAUUAAGGGAUUGGUAAAGCAGAUUAACCACAAUAGCAUGUUAAUUAAGACCAUGUUUCAGCUUUCCAAAAUUACUCUCUUUCUGCAGAAAGCUGAUGAGUUGACUGGCAUCAGAGACUGUCCAAACCAAGGAGUCAGAUGGAAAGGACCACGAGGGAAAUUGGGCUGCAUACCCAAGAGAAGGCUUUGAAACAAUGCAAUCCCAUUUUCACAACGUCCAGCAUGGAGAUGUGAUGUCCAAAUCUCCAGUACCACUGUGCUUGCACAGGCAGAGCCUUGCCAGCUUUUCAGUCAGGCUGAGGCUGAAUUUGCCACAAGAGCAAGUCCUAGGAUGUGCAUUCAAGACGAGGAACAGGACCUUGUCCCACAGAGAACUUUUCCACCAAGCAAGCCCAGGGUGUCAGACUAGGAGCCUGUUUCUGUUUUCUGCAUUACAUUCAGCUCAAUCAAUCAUUCAAUGGCUUCCAUCCUUAUUUUUCCUCUGUCCUUUCCAGUCAGACUUUGUUCUCUUCAGACUGGUGGUGGGUUUGUGCCUGGUACAGAGGGUGCUCACCUGAGCCAGGGACAUGAUGGUUGCUGUCAUGCUAAUCAUAAUUUUCCUCAGAAAGGAAAUAGCAAAUGCCUUUGUGUCUUGUUCUCCUGCCCUUGUGCUCCCAGACCCCUGCUCUGAGGACAGGACACUUCCCCUCUGCCUCCUUUUGCUCUGAUUUGCCUUGCCUUCCCCAAGCCCUACUGCUAACUGCACUCUCACUGAUUAUUUUCUUUUCAGAGGCUGUAAACUUCAGUUCCUGCUCAGCUUGCAUUAGUGUCAGAGAAGUAUCUCUUGGCUGUUUACAGAAGAGAAAAUGGAAAGAUGAGCAUUAUUUCAUGUGAAAUAUGGUAGAGAGCCUAUGCUGAGUUUCUCUGUGAGGCCUGAGGCUCCAGCUACCUGAAGAAGCUGGUGAAAGCAUCCGUCAUCUGGUGAUUCAUCUCCCCCUGCCAUGGCUCUGGCCCUGCUCUGCGUGGGUGUCUCACAGCUCUCAUCAACUCUGGUUUUGAUGCAGACCAGGAGCUGCUGGGCUGUUCGCCCAAGUUUAUCUUGUAUGAAAGAGUUUGCUUGCUUUUCAAUUGUCUGGUGUUCUCCUGAAGAUGUAAAUUAAAAAAAAUAAAAAAAAAAAUAAA